rnacentral:rRNA from 1 species
UACGUAGGGGGCAAGCGUUGUCCGGAAUCAUUGGGCGUAAAGCGCGUGUAGGCGGCCCGGUAAGUCCGCUGUGAAAGUCCAGGGCUCAACCCUGGAAUGCCGGCGGAUACUGUCGGGCUCGAGUCCGGAAGAGGCGAGUGGAAUUCCUGGUGUAGCGGUGAAAUGCGCAGAUAUCAGGAGGAACACCGAUGGCGAAGGCAGCUCGCUGGGACGGUACUGACGCUGAGACGCGAAAGCGUGGGGAGCAAACAGG